CUGCAGCCUCAUUGGUUAAGGGCACAGGUUGCUGAGCCAGACCACCUGUGCUGGACUCCUGCUCCUGAGUCCCCAGCUCUGGGAGACUUCAGGCAAGGUCAGUAUGUCUCUGCUCCUUGGAUUCUUUAUAUAAAGCAGGAACCAGAGCAGUUUAUACUUAGGUGGAUGGUAUCAAAAGACAAGAAGUUAAUCAUUGUGCCAAUGCUUACAAGAUAGUUGGUAGAUAAUAAAUGUUAUCUAUAAUGAUGCUAGUGGCAUUUCUACCCAGAAAAGAAACACUUUUGAAAACCUUGACUCAUUCGCUUGUUAUAAUAUUUCCUUUUUGUUAAGCUAAAAACUUGUAGAAACCACCCUUCUAAGGAAGACUUUACUGAAGAGGAGGGUACAUGCCAUCGACUACAUGUGGAGACUAAAAAUGGAUAAACAUAAGCAACCAGAGCCUGAGAACUGGGAAGAAACAAAACAAGCUGCUAGAUGUUAAAGAUGAAGCAGAAAAGGUCAAAGGAUGAGGAAGAAUACAGUACUGACAGGAGCACGAGAAGCCACAGCCCCCAAUGGAAGCGUUCCUAGCACUAAAGCUUCGCUCCUCAGGUGACUACUUCACUUGUACUGUGAUGCCUAAGAAGCUCCAUUUUACGCCAGGCAUCCAUCUUGGUACCCAGCAGUCAUUAGUCUCUGACUCCAGUCCCUGGAAGGUAAGUUCCCAGUAACCCUGACUCUGUGAUCCUCACGCAAAAUGUACAGCCAAGGU
rnacentral:lncRNA from 1 species